rnacentral:rRNA from 1 species
GACGAACGCUGGCGGCGUGCUUAACACAUGCAAGUCGAACGGAAAGGCCCUGCCUUUGUGGGGUGCUCGAGUGGCGAACGGGUGAGUAACCCGUGAGUAACCUGCCCUUGACUUUGGGAUAACUUCAGGCAACUGGGGCUAAUCCCGGAUAGGAGCUCUUGCUGCAUGGUGGGGGUUGGAUAGUUUGGGUGGUUGGGGGUGGACUCGCGGCUUAUCAGCUUGUUGGUUGGGUAGUGGCUUACCAAGGCUUUGACGGGUAGCCGGGCUGGGAGGGUGACCUGCCACGUUGGGACUGGGAUACGGCCCAGACCAGUACGGGAGGCAAGGGUGGAGAAGAGUGCACAAUGGGCGGGAGGCUGGUGCAGCAACGCCGCGUGCGGUAUGACGGCCUGCGGGUUGUAAUCCGCUUUCGCCUGUGACGAGGCGAGAGUGACGGUAAUGGGUAAAGAAGCACCGGCUAACUACGUG